UAGAAAGCUGGAUAUAGAUGACACAAAUCUACAUGAGCAGGAACAUUUUCCUGAAGUGGAUUGUGAGGAUGUUACCUUGGACAGUCGUGAAGUUCAACAAGGGACAAGAUGCUGAUUCUGAGGAAAUAUCUUUGCUGUGGUAUGGACACACAUGGAGCUGCGACAGUGGAGUUUGACCGUGGCGAUGGGGGAUAAUGAUGUCAGAUGGAGCAACAAAGGCUGAUGGGGCACUCAAUCUGACGGCACCCAUUCACUGCAGAGGAUCCAUUGAUGAGUAAAAGAUUUAAUGCAAAAUU